rnacentral:rRNA from 1 species
GCGAGCGGCGGACGGCUGAGUAACGCGUAGGAACAUACCCCAAAGUGAGGAAUAACUGCCCGAAAGGGUGGCUAAUGCCGCAUGUGAUCUUCGGAUUAAAGCUUUAUGCGCUUUGGGAAUGGCCUGCGUCCGAUUAGUUUGUUGGUGAGGUAAAAGCUCACCAAGGCGAUGAUCGGUAACUGGUUUGAGAGGAUGAUCAGUCAGACUGGAACUGAGAUACGGUCCAGACUCC